rfam:Brachypodium distachyon strain Bd21 chromosome 1, whole genome shotgun sequence.
UAGAUACUCCCUCCGUCCGAUAAAAGAUGUCUCAACUUUGAUUAAAUUUGAAUGCAUCUAUACACUAAGUCAUGUCUAGAUACAUCCAAAUUUUGACAAACUUAAGACAUCUUUUCUAGGACGGAGGGAGUACAAA